rnacentral:rRNA from 1 species
CCUACGGGAGGCAGCAGUGGGGAAUAUUGGACAAUGGGCGAAAGCCUGAUCCAGCCAUGCCGCGUGUGUGAAGAAGGCCUUCGGGUUGUAAAGCACUUUCAGUGGGGAAGAAAGCCUUGGGGCUAAUACCCUCGAGGAAGGACAUCACCCACAGAAGAAGCACCGGCUAACUCCGUGCCAGCAGCCGCGGUAAUACGGAGGGUGCGAGCGUUAAUCGGAAUUACUGGGCGUAAAGCGCGCGUAGGCGGUCUGAUAAGCCGGUUGUGAAAGCCCCGGGCUCAACCUGGGAACGGCAUCCGGAACUGUCAGGCUAGAGUGCAGGAGAGGAAGGUAGAAUUCCCGGUGUAGCGGUGAAAUGCGUAGAGAUCGGGAGGAAUACCAGUGGCGAAGGCGGCCUUCUGGACUGACACUGACGCUGAGGUGCGAAAGCGUGGGUAGCAAACAGGAUUAGAUACCUAGUUC